rnacentral:rRNA from 1 species
AUCAACGCUGGCGGCGUGCCUAAACACAUGCAAGUCGAACGAGAAAGUGGAGCAAUCCAUGAGUAAAGUGGCGCACGGGUGAGUAACACGUGACUAACCUACCCAGGAGUGGGGGAUAACUGAGGGAAACCUUAGCUAAUACCGCAUAACACCUACGGGUCAAAGGAGCAAUUCGCUUCUGGAGGGGGUCGCGGCCGAUUAGUUAGUUGGCAGGGUAAUGGCUACCAAGACGAUGAUCGGUAUCCGGCCUGAGAGGGGCGCACGGACACACUGGAACUGAAACACGGUCCAGACUCCUACGGGAGGCAGCAGUGGGGAAUUUUGCGCAAUGGGGGAAACCCUGACGCAGCAACGCCGCGUGGAGGAUGAAGUCCUUCGGGACGUAAACUCCUUUCGAUCGGGACGAUUAUGACGGUACCGGAAGAAGAAGCCCCGGCUAACUUCGUGCCAGCAGCCCGCGUAAUACGAGGGGGCGAGCGUUGUUCGGAAUUAUGUGGGCGUAAAGGGUGCGUAGGCGGUUUGGUAAGUCUGAUGUGAAAUCUAUGGGCUCAGCUCAUAGUCUGCAUCGGAAACUGCCGGGCUUGAGUUGUGGGAGAGGUGAGUGGAAUUCCUGGUGUAGCGGUGAAAUGCGUAGAUAUCAGGAGGAACAACCUGUGGGCGAAGCGGCUCACUGGACCAUAACUGACGUCUGAUGCACGAAAGCUAGGGGAGCAAACAGGAUUAGAUACCCCCUGGUAGUCCUAGCCCCUAAACGAUGACUGCUUGUUGUGACGGGUACCCCAAUCCCGCCGUGCCGUAGCUAACGCGUUAAGCAGUCCGCCUGGGAGUACGGUCGCAAGGCUGAAACCUCAAAGGAAUUGACGUGGGCCCGCACAAGCGUGGAGGCAGUGGUUUAAUUCGACGCAACGCGAAGAACCUUACCUGGGGCUCGAAAUGUACAGGAAUCCAGUGGAAACAUCGGCGUCCCGCAAGGGACCUGUAUAUAGGUGCUUGCCAUGGCUGUCGUCAGCUCGUGUCGUGAGAUGUUGGGUUAAGUCCCGCAGCGAGCGCAACCCUUAUCUUCAGGUUGCUACCAUUUAGUUGAGCACUCUGACGAAACCGCCUCGGAUACGGGAGGAAGGUGGGAUGACGUCAAGUCCUCAUGGCUUUAUGUCCAGGGCUACACACGUGCUACAUGGCCGGUACAACCGUCGCAAACCCGUGAGGGGGAGCUAAUCGGAAAAAGCCGGCCUCAGUUCGGAUUGGAGUCUGCAACUCGACUCCAUGAAGCUGGAAUCGCUAGUAAUCGCGGAUCAGAACGCCGCGUGAAUACGGUUCCCCGGGCCUUGUUACCACACCGCCCGUCACAUCACGAAAGUGGGUUGCACUAGAAGUCGGUGAGCCAACCGCAAGGAGGCAGCCGCCCAAGUGUAAUUCAUGAUUGGGGUG